AGACUCCGCCUCCUCGCCACAUAACCAGUAGUCUCAGUGCUACAGACCCAGGUACAGACAACCGCUGCUGCGUUUAACCACCGAGAAAAUGAGAACUAAGACGGUGAUCCUGCUCAUUGCCCUCGUGGUGCUUCUCAAAGUGGUGUCCAAUGAUGCUGGAGCAGACGAUCCAGUUAUUCCAGACGACAGUUUUGAAAAAGAGUUUAGAAAACAUUCCAGUGAUCUCGGCGAGGAGCCUAAAGCAUCGACCAGCCCUGAGGGAGAAAACUCGGACGAGAAAUGACAGGAGAAAGAAAAUGGGUUCGCAAACGUUCUCCCAGUUUGAGAAGAACUUAAAUGAAUAAACAUAAUAAAUAAAUUCA